rnacentral:lncRNA from 1 species
GUGAAAAAAAAAAAAAAAAAAAAAAAAAAUGACUGAUACUUUGAAACUUUCAUAUUCAUAAAUUAACAAACAUUACUUAAUAAAAUAUACUAUUGUUUGUUUGGGUGUAGUAGUAAGUAUUAUCUCUAUGAACUUACUAGUAUUGUUUUUUCUAGCCUUUUUUUAGCUAUUUUUUUUAGCCUUUUUUUUUUUUUUUUCCAAUACCUUUAGUUAUCGUUUUAUUUUAUUUUAUUUCAUUUUAUUUUUUUUACUUAAAAAAAAGUAUAGGCUGUUAAAAUAUUGAUGUACUCCUUUUUACAAACAGAUUCCUAAAUUACUUUAAAAUAUAAUGACUAAAAAAAAUGAAUGUCAAAUAAUAAUAAAAUUAUUUUUCAUAUAUAUAUCUGUUUUUAAUUACAUAAGUAAAGCAUAUAUAAUAAGUAAUGUUUUUAAUAAUGAAAUAACAAACAAGCAUUGUUAUAAUAAUAAUAAUAAUAAGGAUCAAAAAAAAUUUCAUAAAAGACAUGUUUUAACUUUAAAAUUAAACAACACAGCGUUAUCACCGACGCCUACUACUAGCAGCUUAUGGAAUAACAAGACAACAGAUAGUAGUGUAAAUAAAAAUGUAAAACUAAAAAAAAAAGAUAAAAAAAUAUUAAAAAAAUAUAAAGAAUUUUUAGAUAUGUUACCAAACAGAAGCGUGGAAUAUGGAAUUAUUGAUGCCAUCGAAAAAAUAAAAACAUUAGCUAUUCAUAAAUUUGUUGAAAGUAUAGAUAUUUAUUUAUCCUUUAAUAAAAAAAAAUCUAAAAUGACAAAAAAUGAUAAUAUAAAAACAUUUAUAACAUUUCCUCACAAUUUAAAAAAAAAGAGAGAAAAAAUAAUAUACGUUGUAACAAAUAAAAAUCUCUAUAAGGCUGCUACAGAAUCAGGGGCUGAUGUUGUAGGAGAAGAUGACUUGAUAAAUAAAAUAAAAGAAAAAGAAAUAAAAUUAAAAAAAAAAAAUAAUAACUUUUUGUUAUGUACAAACGAUGUAAUACACAAAUUAACACGCGUUGGUAAGGAGAUAGGAAGUAAAGGACUAAUGCCAAAUGAAAAAUGCGGCACAUUAGUUAGUGAAUAUACAUUAGAAAAACAUGUUAAAAUGUUUAAGUUUGAAAAUACACUCAUAUUUAAAUUAAAUAAAUUAAAUACUUUAAAUUUGAAUGUUGGAGAUGUUUAUAUGUCAAACGAUGAUAUUAAAGAAAAUAUCUGUCACUUGUUUGAAUUUUUAGAUAAUUUGGAAUUUUUUCAUUUUAAUUAUAAAAAUUUAAAAUCUAUUUAUUUGGGUAGUACUAUGGGAUUUCCUUUUAAAAUUAAGAAAAAUUUUCAUUAAAACAGACAUUACAUCUAUUAUGUAUAUAUAUACAUGCACUGACGGACAUAUACAAAAAUAAAUACAGCAAUGUGUAUAUUGAGAAUUCCA